rnacentral:rRNA from 1 species
UGUGUGUUAGUGGAAGCGUCUGGAAAGGCGCGCGAUACAGGGUGACAGCCCCGUACACAAAAAUGCACAUGCUGUGAGCUCGAUGAGUAGGGCGGGACACGUGGUAUCCUGUCUGAAUAUGGGGGGACCAUCCUCCAAGGCUAAAUACUCCUGACUGACCGAUAGUGAACCAGUACCGUGAGGGAAAGGCGAAAAGAACCCCGGCGAGGGGAGUGAAAAAGAACCUGAAACCGUGUACGUACAAGCAGUGGGAGCACAGAGCAAUCUGUGUGACUGCGUACCUUUUGUAUAAUGGGUCAGCGACUUAUAUUCUGUAGCAAGGUUAACCGAAUAGGGGAGCCGAAGGGAAACCGAGUCUUAACUGGGCGUUAAGUUGCAGGGUAUAGACCCGAAACCCGGUGAUCUAGCCAUGGGCAGGUUGAAGGUUGGGUAACACUAACUGGAGGACCGAACCGACUAAUGUUGAAAAAUUAGCGGAUGACUUGUGGCUGGGGGUGAAAGGCCAAUCAAACCGGGAGAUAGCUGGUUCUCCCCGAAAGCUAUUUAGGUAGCGCCUCGUGAAUUCAUCUCCGGGGGUAGAGCACUGUUUCGGCAAGGGGGUCAUCCCGA